AGGGAGCGGCAGCGGGGGGUGUCGGGGGCCGGGCCUCUGGGUCUCACCUCGGGAGCGGACGCUUUGCAUCUCGGCUCGGAGGGCGGACGGCUUGCUUUCGGUUCGGGUCGGUCUCGGGGCCGGAAAGGCUUGUCCGGGGCAGAGUCUGGGGACGGGGAUGGACCGGUGAGGCGAUGGGGCCGCAGGCUCUUGGUUUCAGGGAGGUUCCGCGGUCUCCCUCGGCAUCCCACUCAGCGCCCGACAACGCUGCCAGGGAGCUCCUCGAAGAACCUCCUCUCCCUCCGGCCACGUUCCUCGCUCGGGGUCGCCAUGGCGGCCGGGUCGGUGGGCCCGGGGCUCCGUUUCCGGUGACCCCCGUGGCCGCCCGUGAGGGGGACGGGGACUUUCUUUGCACAUUUGGGGGUUUCUUUUGUUGUUCUGUUCAGAAGGAAUUGAGGCAUCACCUCCCCAGGCUCACCCCGCCUCUGAAGGGUGCUGCUUCACCCCCACCCCCAAAAUGGAUGCACACGCACACACCCAGACACACACGUGUACGCACACAAACACACGCACACCGCUAAGAAAUCAACCAGCCAGGGCGCUUCCUAUGUAUAAAUAUUUUUUCAGGGCUGUUUCCACAUACAUGGUAAACCUUGAUAGAAAGCAUUAAUGUCGCACACUACCAAACUUAUACAACAUAUACAUUACAUAUAUUUAUAGAUAUAGAACAUCCUAUAUACAAACAUAUACAGUUUUCUUGUUCUCUCUACAGACUACGAGAAAUUCGAUCGUUAUAAUCACAAGUGCCGAAUGCAACAGAAAAAUAGGAAUCUGUCAUUUUCUGAAAGAAGUCCGAAGAUACGUCGGCGACGCCACCCGGUCGGCGCCCUUAUCCUUCUGGAGAAAAACAGGGAGAGACCCAGCGGCAGCACUGCGGCGGGCCUGGGAGAGCUCUGGGGAAGCGACCGCCGGCGAGCGCUAAGCCCAAGACGGACAGCUGCGGACGGGGAGUGGGGACGCUUGCCCUUCGGACCCUCUCGGGGCCAGGGAUCCGGGCCCGGCGACGGGGCGGUAAGGGGAGCGGGCUUGGAUUUCAAUUUACAGAUCCGCCAAGCAGCCUCUGGUCCGUGGGCGUCGGGGGAGAUUCCCGGAAAGACUCGCCCCGGCCGUGUCCCGAAAACCACGAGCCUAUCGGGGGGGGAAAAGGACAAGCGGGCCGCUGGGUGGGGAGCGCGGGGACAGAGUCAACGGCGCGUUUGCGGGAGAUUAGUUGGAAGUUUGUUAGUUACCCCGUCGCUCGUCUUUUACCCAGAAUGA
rnacentral:lncRNA from 1 species